rnacentral:rRNA from 1 species
UACAGAGGUCCCAAGCGUUGUUCGGAUUCACUGGGCGUAAAGGGUGCGUAGGUGGUCGGGUAAGUCUGAUGUGAAAGCUCUGGGCUCAACCCAGAAAUGGCAUUGGAUACUAUCUGGCUAGAGGAAUGGAGGGGGACUGGAAUACUUGGUGUAGCAGUGAAAUGCGUAGAUAUCAAGUGGAACACCAGUGGCGAAGGCGAGUCCCUGGACAUUUCCUGACACUGAGGCACGAAAGCUAGGGGAGCAAACAGG